rnacentral:tRNA from 1 species
AGUUUUAAUAGUUUAAUAAAAAUUUUGAUUUUGUAAUUCAAAGAUAAGACCCAUUCUUUUAAAACUU